GGCGUCCGGAACCCAGAGUCUCAGAAAAAUGACAAUUCGGAUCGCUAGACUACAGGCCAGAGGUUGGGAGAGCUCGGCUCUUCCAAGGAGGACAGCAGUGGCAAGCCAGGUACAACAUAUAAAUAUAAAAAGAACAUAAAAAGAACAUAAAAAGCUUCAAAAAAGAAAAAACAAAAACAAAACCCAAAGAGGUCUUUAAAAUUUUUCUGGAAGUAUAAAACCAUGAGAGUGCUCAGACCAAGGGUGAUGCUGCAAGGCCAGAGGCAGCAGGAGGCAGACAAGCACAGCUUCUCUUCCAGAGCCUGCACCUAACAGUGUUUCUAUCAGCAGCUGGAUGCUCUACAGGGGAGCCACCCAAACGGCACUCUCCUUUGACAGGGAGGCGAAGAGGAAGCAGUCAUUAAAACUCUUUCUUUCUGCCCCAAACCAAGGAAAAGAACAUAGUCUCUCCCAAGCUUUCCUGGGCAUGAUGCCCCGAACCUGACAUUUACCCAAUCUGUCCAACCCAGUUCCUAACCAAAGCCAGAAGGUGCCCAAAGUUUUGAGGGGGAGGGGAAGAGGCUAGUGUGUUAUGAAACAGAUCUUUAUUUGAAGUCAUCAUUGGUGCCGUUUCUUGCUGUUUAUUUGUUUGCUAGCCUGUUCUUCCAGUUGCAUGGCUAGGCGCAGGCCUUGAUGACUNNNNNNNNNNNNNNNNNNNNNNNNNNNNNNNNNNNNNNNNNNNNNNNNNNNNNNCUCCCUGAGCUCUUCCAGGGCCCUCUCUUCCAGCUCCCUGAUCUGAGUCAUGGCUUCAUUAAAGCUGGACAUCUGGGAAGACAGCUCCUCCUCUUCAUUGCCAGCCAGAGAAGUCCCAUUAGAGCUGGCUUCCAUCACUUCUGUUUCCAUCUGAACCGACUGCUCUCCACUGGGCCCACUGUGGGGGCUUAGCUCCUUGACUCUGUCUGUGUAUCUCAGCAUGUUCAACAUGUAUUCAUAGGAGCUUAUGCCUGGUGAGAUCAUAGUGGUCAUGCAGGUCCUUGAGUUCUCCCCAGUGAACGAGGCCCUCAGCAGCUGUGUCAACUUGCUCUCACAGAACGGUGUAUGAGCCUUGUUCUUUCCCAGAGCCCGGAUACAUUCCUUCAGAGCCAGGAGAGACUUGUUAAUUUCUGCACUCUCCAUGUGAGUCUGCCGGUCAGCGAUAGAAGUGUCAGCCCCUCAUUCAUUCCAUGCCAGAUCCACCAAAGAGAAUUUGCCAUGUAAUCUCCCUUGAGCUCGAAGAAGAAUCUGGAAGCAGGCAUGGGAGCAGGAGGAAUUGGAGUUGGCAAAUGUUUGUCCAGAAGUCCUGCAGGCUCUGCCCAUGUUGAUCAUCUUGACGACAUCAUCAGCACAGGUAGCCAGAUACUCCUGCAGUCCCACAGCCUGCACCUGCUCACAGCCUGCACCUGCUGCCUGCUGUCCUCCAGCACAUAUAAUUUGGCCUGUUUGUUGAGGAGAUCAAACACCUUCCCAUUGUAGAUCACGAAGAAUGUCACAUAAACUUCCAGGUUUAAGUUCCAGUAUGGAGACUGAUUCUUCAGAAGGAAGACAUCCCGAGAAACCAUUGUGUAGAUCCCUUUGGAUGUGUUCUGACUUUUACCAGACAGGUCUCCACCCACUGUGUGUGUCUUCCCACUGCCUGUUUGUCCAUAGGCAAAGCAUGUUGCUUUUCCCACUUCAAAAAUUGCCUGUACCAGUGGCCUUGCUGUGAACCUGAAUCUGAUAAACAGGAGAGACAGGAGGACUGAGAAUUUUGGACAUAAAAAGUCUCCAUGACAUACAUCAAUUCUGCCUUUAGACACCCUUACUGUUGAUAAGAAAAGCCAAUGAAAUUUAGACUCUAUAGUGCUAUGAUCCCUAUUAUUCAUUGGCUUGGCUUUCUAGUACACACACACAUGAUACUAUCAUAGUUAUGAUUAUUGAGGCAGGUCUUGCUAUGUGGCCCAUGCUGCCUGAAAUUCUCAACACUAUUGCCCCAGUGUCUGUGUACUACAAUGCCCAGCUUCAUGCACAUACUUAACUGUCAGGAAGAAUGUAAAUGAAAUAGGACUAAAUGAGUUUGUUUGGCUUUGAACUGAUAGUUUAUGUGUCCUUGUGUGCUAGACAUUUUAGCAUGAAGUGUUUAAAGUAAUAAAGAGAAAUUGACAG
ensembl:lincRNA Gm4961 predicted pseudogene 4961